GCAUGAGCCACCACACCCAGCCAACUCAUGGAAUUCUUAUGAAAUGAUUUCCAUUUUACUAAUACAACAGAACUUAGUCCAAAGGGGAAAAACAGGCUAUCUCUAAUUAUCAGGAAAACCAGCUAUUGUAGGUCUACUAAGUAUGUAUUAUCUAUGAUAUAGCCUUGUCAAAAAUGUUUAUGCUGAGUCUAAUCAAUGCUUUUGCAUAGAAAUAGAGGGGUGAGAAAACAAGGUGACUACAUAUAAACACAAUGAGACACAUCUAGAAGGUGUUAUACCCUCAGGAUAACUGCCCCACUAUUCAGUAAGUUAGUAUCACUAAAAAGUUGGUCAUUCAAGAUUACAAGAGAUUUAAGGGAUAAAAACAAAUGCAAACAGGAGCCCUGAAUUGUACCCUGGUUUAAUCAAACCAGCUGUACAGCUUAGUAAAAAAAA